UGUAAGCGCAGUGAUGCGUUCAGCUUACCAGUACUAAUCGCCCGUGAGGCUUGACCAUA
rnacentral:rRNA from 1 species